UAAGCGACUAAGCGUACACGGUGGAUGCCCUGGCAGUCAGAGGCGAUGAAGGACGUGCUAAUCUGCGAUAAGCGUCGGUAAGGUGAUAUGAACCGUUAUAACCGGCGAUUUCCGAAUGGGGAAACCCAGUGUGUUUCGACACACUAUCAUUAACUGAAUCCAUAGGUUAAUGAGGCGAACCGGGGGAACUGAAACAUCUAAGUACCCCGAGGAAAAGAAAUCAACCGAGAUUCCCCCAGUAGCGGCGAGCGAACGGGGAGGAGCCCAGAGCCUGAAUCAGUGUGUGUGUUAGUGGAAGCGUCUGGAAAGGCGCGCGAUACAGGGUGACAGCCCCGUACACAAAAAUGCACAUGCUGUGAGCUCGAUGAGUAGGGCGGGACACGUGGUAUCCUGUCUGAAUAUGGGGGGACCAUCCUCCAAGGCUAAAUACUCCUGACUGACCGAUAGUGAACCAGUACCGUGAGGGAAAGGCGAAAAGAACCCCGGCGAGGGGAGUGAAAAAGAACCUGAAACCGUGUACGUACAAGCAGUGGGAGCCUCUUUUAUGGGGUGACUGCGUACCUUUUGUAUAAAUGGGUCAGCGACUUAUAAUUCUGUAGCAAGGUUAACCGAAUAGGGGAGCCGAAGGGAAACCGAGUCUUAACCGGGCGUUAAGUUGCAGGGUAUAGACCCGAAACCCGGUGAUCUAGCCAUGGGCAGGUUGAAGGUUGGGUAACACUAACUGGAGGACCGAACCGACUAAUGUUGAAAAAUUAGCGGAUGACUUGUGGCUGGGGGUGAAAGGCCAAUCAAACCGGGAGAUAGCUGGUUCUCCCCGAAAGCUAUUUAGGUAGCGCCUCGUGAAUUCAUCUCCGGGGGUAGAGCACUGUUUCGGCAAGGGGGUCAUCCCGACUUACCAACCCGAUGCAAACUGCGAAUACCGGAGAAUGUUAUCACGGGAGACACACGGCGGGUGCUAACGUCCGUCGUGAAGAGGGAAACAACCCAGACCGCCAGCUAAGGUCCCAAAGUCAUGGUUAAGUGGGAAACGAUGUGGGAAGGCCCAGACAGCCAGGAUGUUGGCUUAGAAGCAGCCAUCAUUUAAAGAAAGCGUAAUAGCUCACUGGUCGAGUCGGCCUGCGCGGAAGAUGUAACGGGGCUAAACCAUGCACCGAAGCUGCGGCAGCGACACUGUGUGUUGUUGGGUAGGGGAGCGUUCUGUAAGCCUGUGAAGGUGUACUGUGAGGUAUGCUGGAGGUAUCAGAAGUGCGAAUGCUGACAUAAGUAACGAUAAAGCGGGUGAAAAGCCCGCUCGCCGGAAGACCAAGGGUUCCUGUCCAACGUUAAUCGGGGCAGGGUGAGUCGACCCCUAAGGCGAGGCCGAAAGGCGUAGUCGAUGGGAAACAGGUUAAUAUUCCUGUACUUGGUGUUACUGCGAAGGGGGGACGGAGAAGGCUAUGUUGGCCGGGCGACGGUUGUCCCGGUUUAAGCGUGUAGGCUGGUUUUCCAGGCAAAUCCGGAAAAUCAAGGCUGAGGCGUGAUGACGAGGCACUACGGUGCUGAAGCAACAAAUGCCCUGCUUCCAGGAAAAGCCUCUAAGCAUCAGGUAACAUCAAAUCGUACCCCAAACCGACACAGGUGGUCAGGUAGAGAAUACCAAGGCGCUUGAGAGAACUCGGGUGAAGGAACUAGGCAAAAUGGUGCCGUAACUUCGGGAGAAGGCACGCUGAUAUGUAGGUGAAGUCCCUCGCGGAUGGAGCUGAAAUCAGUCGAAGAUACCAGCUGGCUGCAACUGUUUAUUAAAAACACAGCACUGUGCAAACACGAAAGUGGACGUAUACGGUGUGACGCCUGCCCGGUGCCGGAAGGUUAAUUGAUGGGGUCAGCGCAAGCGAAGCUCUUGAUCGAAGCCCCGGUAAACGGCGGCCGUAACUAUAACGGUCCUAAGGUAGCGAAAUUCCUUGUCGGGUAAGUUCCGACCUGCACGAAUGGCGUAAUGAUGGCCAGGCUGUCUCCACCCGAGACUCAGUGAAAUUGAACUCGCUGUGAAGAUGCAGUGUACCCGCGGCAAGACGGAAAGACCCCGUGAACCUUUACUAUAGCUUGACACUGAACAUUGAGCCUUGAUGUGUAGGAUAGGUGGGAGGCUUUGAAGUGUGGACGCCAGUCUGCAUGGAGCCGACCUUGAAAUACCACCCUUUAAUGUUUGAUGUUCUAACGUGGACCCGUGAUCCGGGUUGCGGACAGUGUCUGGUGGGUAGUUUGACUGGGGCGGUCUCCUCCUAAAGAGUAACGGAGGAGCACGAAGGUUGGCUAAUCCUGGUCGGACAUCAGGAGGUUAGUGCAAUGGCAUAAGCCAGCUUGACUGCGAGCGUGACGGCGCGAGCAGGUGCGAAAGCAGGUCAUAGUGAUCCGGUGGUUCUGAAUGGAAGGGCCAUCGCUCAACGGAUAAAAGGUACUCCGGGGAUAACAGGCUGAUACCGCCCAAGAGUUCAUAUCGACGGCGGUGUUUGGCACCUCGAUGUCGGCUCAUCACAUCCUGGGGCUGAAGUAGGUCCCAAGGGUAUGGCUGUUCGCCAUUUAAAGUGGUACGCGAGCUGGGUUUAGAACGUCGUGAGACAGUUCGGUCCCUAUCUGCCGUGGGCGCUGGAGAACUGAGGGGGGCUGCUCCUAGUACGAGAGGACCGGAGUGGACGCAUCACUGGUGUUCGGGUUGUCAUGCCAAUGGCACUGCCCGGUAGCUAAAUGCGGAAGAGAUAAGUGCUGAAAGCAUCUAAGCACGAAACUUGCCCCGAGAUGAGUUCUCCCUGACCCUUUAAGGGUCCUGAAGGAACGUUGAAGACGACGACGUUGAUAGGCCGGGUGUGUAAGCGCAGCGAUGCGUUGAGCUAACCGGUACUAAUGAACCGUGAGGCUUAACCU
rnacentral:rRNA from 1 species